CAGCCGCCGCGGGAAUACGGAGGAUCCAAGCGUUAUCCGGAUUCAUUGGGUUUAAAGGGUCCGUAGGCGGUCUUGUAAGUCAGUGGUGAAAGCCCAUCGCUCAACGGUGGAACGGCCAUUGAUACUGCAGGACUUGAAUUAUUGGGAAGUAACUAGAAUAUGUAGUGUAGCGGUGAAAUGCUUAGAGAUUACAUGGAAUACCAAUUGCGAAGGCAGGUUACUACCAAUUGAUUGACGCUGAUGGACGAAAGCGUGGGUAGCGAACAGGAUUAGAUACCCCCGUAGUCCCUGUCUCUUAUAC
rnacentral:rRNA from 1 species